rnacentral:tRNA from 1 species
GGUGGCAGACUCAGUGACAGAGCACGUGCCUUUCAAGCAUGAAGCUCCGGGUUUGAUUCCUGGCACCA